rnacentral:rRNA from 1 species
CACGUAGGGCGCAAGCGUUGUCCGGAAUUAUUGGGCGUAAAGAGCUCGUAGGCGGUCUGUUGCGUCCGCUGUGAAAACCCGGGGCUUAACCCUGGGCUGGCAGUGGAUACGGACAGACUAGAGGUAGGUAGGGGAGAAUGGAAUUCCCGGUGUAGCGGUGAAAUGCGCAGAUAUCAGGAGGAACACCGGUGGCGAAGGCGGGUCUCUGGACAGUUCCUGACGCUGAGGCACGAAGGCCAGGGGAGCAAACGGG